rnacentral:rRNA from 1 species
UACGGAGGGGGCUAGCGUUGUUCGGAAUUAUUGGGCGUAAAGCGCGUGUAGGCGGCUUUGCAAGUCGGGUGUGAAAGCCCUCAGCUCAACUGAGGAAGUGCGCCCGAAACUGCAUGGCUUGAGUACCGGAGAGGAUGGUGGAAUUCCCCAAGUAGAGGUGAAAUUCGUAGAUAUGGGGAGGAACACCGGUGGCGAAGGCGACCAUCUGGACGGAUACUGACGCUGAGACGCGAAAGCGUGGGUAGCAAACAGG